UCAGCUAUAUAACAAUAGUAAUGGAAGUAAUAGAAGUCAGUUUCGUUUUGCGAGCCGUUGGUGGUGGAAUUUGUAAACAUGCGUCAAUUCCUAGCUCCUGUCCUAAUCCUGAUGCUGUUGCUAGGCUAUCAAUUUGUGAUGCCAGUAAAUUAUGAAUACAAGAAACGCCUGACGACGGACAAACAAAGAAUUGUGUCUAAUAUCAGUCAUGGAAUAUACAUGAUUUUUGAUCAGUUUGCUCCGUUUGUAACAAAUCGAAAACAGUUAAGGAUUUUAAGUUGAAACUAUUCAUGUUUAUAGAAAACUAAAUAAAAUAAAAAAUCUCAUUUCAA